GAAUAGCGCAGUAUGGUAGCGCACUUGCUUCUGGAGCAAGUGGUCGGAGGUUCAAAUCCUCUCGCCC
rnacentral:tRNA from 1 species